ACGCCAGCACAGGCUCCUUCACUCUGUGCUAACAUCAGUAGCGUCCUUGUCCUCCGGUAGGCAUGCGCGCGCUGCGGGCCGGCCUGACCCUAGCGCUGGGCGCGGGGCUGGGCGCCGCGGCAGAGCAUUGGCGGCGGCGGGAGGGCAAAGCGCCGGGGCUGCUGGGCCGAGUGCCAUUGUUGCCGGUGGUCGCGGCCGAUCUUCCCGCGCUGCCGGGGGGACCGGCGGGCGGCACCGGGGAACUGGCCAAGUACGGGCUGCCCGGCGUGGCGCAGCUCCGGAGCCGCGAGUCCUACGUGCUUAGCUACGACCCGCGCACGCGCGGUGCGCUCUGGGUGUUGGAGCAGCUGAGGCCAGAGCGGCUCCGUGGCGACGGGGACCGUAGCGCCUGCGACUUCCGCGAGGAUGACUCUGUGCACGCGUACCACCGCGCCACCAAUGCGGACUACCGCGGCAGUGGCUUUGACCGCGGCCAUUUGGCCGCCGCCGCCAACCACCGCUGGAGUCAGCGGGCCAUGGACGACACCUUCUACCUGAGCAACGUAGCGCCUCAGGUGCCACACCUCAACCAGAAUGCCUGGAACAACCUUGAGAGGUACAGCCGCAGCUUGACGCGAACUUACCAAAAUGUCUAUGUCUGCACGGGGCCGCUUUUCCUGCCCAGGUGCCUGGCCCCACACCUGCCUUUGCUCCCCACGUCUGACCUGCCUUACCACCUGUAACCCGUGGCUGCACGGGAGGCUGUCACCCUUGCCUCUGACGUGCUAAGGAUUCCUGGCAGACAAAUGAGCUGAGCUCCUCGGGAGGGCACAGAAAGCAGCAGCAGCAGCAGCAGCAGCAGCAGCAGCACGGGCUGCAGCACGGGCUGCAGGAGGCAGCGGCUGCUGCGGAAACCAGAAGCUACAGGCAUCCACUACAGGCCAUCUGGCGUGGCGCGGUGUGACGCCACCCGAGCACCAGGCUGGGGCUGGGGUUCCCCAGCAUGGCCUCCCACUCGUGCUUGUUAGGUGUACUGCCUACGGGACAGGUUACAGUCACGUGAGCAUAGGACCGAGGCUGAUGGGAAGUCCUAUGUGAAGUACCAGGUUAUUGGGAAGAACCACGUGGCAGUGCCCACACACUUCUUCAAGGUGCUGAUCCUGGAGGCAGCCGGUGGGCAGAUCGAGCUACGUUCCUACGUGAUGCCCAAUGCCCCCGUGGAUGAGACCAUCCCUCUGGAGCGGUUCCUGGUGCCCAUCGAGAGCAUCGAGCGGGCCUCGGGAUUGCUCUUCGUGCCCAAUAUUCUGGCUCGAGCUGGAAACCUCAAGGCUAUCACUGCUGGCAGCAAGUGAUGGUGGAGGACUCACUGGAGCCCCUGGGGAGAUGGGCUGACUCACAUUAAAGGCAGUUAUUUUUGGAGAGAA